rnacentral:tRNA from 1 species
CGCCCCGUAGCUCAAUGGGAGAGAGCGCCGCGCUACGAACGCGGAGGUUCCAGGUUCGAGUCCUGGCGGGGCGG